AUUUUAAAUCUAGCCUAAACAUAAAACACUUAUUCUUAAUAUACAAAACAUUAUUAUAUAUUAGU
rnacentral:rRNA from 1 species